rnacentral:misc_RNA from 1 species
CAGAGUAUCUUUUAGAACUCCAAACCACUGUGAACAUACCACUGUUGCUUCGGCGGGCUCCCGGCCGCGGCGUGUAAAAGCCCGUGGCCCCCCGCCGGAGGACCCAAACUCUGAUUUCCAGCGGAUCUUCUGAGUAUAUAUAUAAGCAAUCA